GCUGCGCACUUCGGUCUUUUACGUCGGCCUUCGCGAGCGUCUGGGCGGGUGGUAGGUGAGUGGGUAUUGCGGGCUAGUAUCCGAGCAAAAGAUGGUGGCGCAGGCCGAGUUAAGAGCUUUAAUCCUGUGAAGACAUCUUAGUGAAGAGUUUAGAGUGCUGAGAGUUGAAAGCUUGCACGUGGGAAACGUGCGGCCGGACUGCCACAUGUACUGAGGUUGAGUCGUGACGGCCACAGGCUCCGAGUUUUGGCGUGAGGAACCGCUGAUCGGCCACGGGCGCCGAACUUGCUGGCCUCCGGCAUGUGCCUGAGCGGCGGCGGAAAAACCACCUUAAUUGGGGCGGAGGGUUAGUUUUAACAGCAAAGGGCCUUUACUAAAAUGGCGAAGGCCUUCCGUCGGCGUUGUUUUAAAAUGGGAAGCCUCGACCCUGUAUUGAAACUGAGCUGUUCGAAGGCGGCGUUGUGUGCAAUUCGGAUUAAUGAAGGGGAAGGGUUUUGUGUGGAAAAACGCCUUGGAGUGUGACAUUUCUGCGAGAAUGCUUAAAUACCGAUUUCCCGCAGGAACAAUGGCGCUGUCUUCAGUGGCACAGUGGAGCAGCUCUGAAGAUGCAAAGAUACACGAAAAAACUUCCAGAACAUCUGGGAGAAUAUUUAAUGGAAAAUCGCUUGGUUAAAACCUGACACUUUUAACAGCGUUCUGAGUGUGGACGAGUAGCCAGUGAAGAUAAUGAAUGUCGAAUGUGACUGACUAGCAGCUUCAUUUUGAAUGAGGGUCGCUGUCUGCCCAUUGAUAGAGGCCAGAUUGUCUUGGAAGUUCCAAAGUUGCAACGAUUUCUGGCUAGUGCCACGAGGUUUACUUGACUGUUGUGUGAAAAGCUGAUAAGAAAACCAUCCAGAAAAAAGCUCUUCGUUUUACAAACAUGAAAAUAAAACAUUUAGUUGAAUCCAUGGACAUGAAACCCACAGAUAUAGAGGGUUGGCCCGGUGCAGUGGCUCACGCCUGUAAUCCCAGCACUUUGGGAGGCCAAGGCGGGUGGAUCACCUGAGGUCAGAAGCUUGAGACCAGCCUGGCCAACAUGGGUACUGCUUUCUCUUGCUGCAGCUUGCUUCCUCCCUCAGGUAUGAAGUUAAGGUAACAUGAAGGAGGAUAUUGAAUGUUCCUAACACAAAGAAAUGAUAAAUGUUUGAGAUGGUGGAUGUACUAAUUGCCCUGAUCUGAUGACUAUACAUUAUAUAUAUUGAAACAUCAGUAUGUACCCCAUGAAUAUGUACAAUUAUAUGUCAACUUAAACACAUUUAAAAGUAAAAAAAAAAAAAUCCAAAA
rnacentral:lncRNA from 1 species